UGGGGAAUUUUGCACAAUGGAGGAAACUCUGAUGCAGCGACGCCGCGUGAGUGAUGAAGACCUUCGGAUUGUAAAACUCUUUCCUUAGUUAAGAUAAUGACAGUAACUAAGAAGCAAGCCCUGGCUAAAUACGUGCCAGCAGCCGCGGUAAUACGUAUGGGGCAAGCGUUGUCCGGAAUUAUUGGGCGUAAAGGGUACGUAGGCGGUUUAAUAAGUCCUAAUUAAAAGGCUAUGGCUCAACCAUAGUAUGGUUAGGAAACUGUUGAACUUGAGUAGAUGAGGGGAAAGUGGAAUUCCAUGUGUAGCGGUGAAAUGCGUAGAUAUAUGGAGGAACACCAAUGGCGAAGGCAACUUUCUGGAAUCAAACUGACGCUGAGGUACGAAGGCGUGGGGAGCAAACAGG
rnacentral:rRNA from 1 species